UACGGAGGGGGCCAGCGUUGUUCGGAAUCAUUGGGCGUAAAGGGCGCGUAGGCGGCCACGCAAGUCGGAUGUGAAAUCCCUCGGCUCAACCGAGGAACUGCACCCGAAACUGCGAGGCUCGAGUCCUGGAGAGGGUAGUGGAAUUCCCAGUGUAGCGGUGAAAUGCGUAGAUACUGGGAGGAACACCGGUGGCGAAGGCGGCUGCCUGGACAGGUACUGACGCUGAGGCGCGAAAGCCAGGGGAGCAAACAGG
rnacentral:rRNA from 1 species